UACGUAGGGGGCAAGCGUUGUCCGGAUUUAUUGGGCGUAAAGAGCGUGUAGGCGGUUCGGUAGGUCCGUUGUGAAAACUCGAGGCUCAACCUCGAGACGCCGAUGGAAACCCCCGAACUAGAGUCCGGAAGAGGAGAGUGGAAUUCCCGGUGUAGCGGUGAAAUGCGCAGAUAUCGGGAAGAACACCCGUGGCUAAGGCGGCUCUCUGGAACGCAACUGACGCUGAGACGCGAAAGCGUGGGGAGCAAACAGG
rnacentral:rRNA from 1 species